AAGUUUGGGAUGUUUGUGGCCGGGAAGCACGCAGAAGCACCUCAGGAGGUGUUGCAAGUUCUUGACAUUUUGCUUUGGGAGCUGUCCUUUGCAAGAUAUGCGCCACUUGGACGGUCGUUCUUUUCGCCUGACCUGGACAGGAGGCAACCCCUUGGUGACGGAUUAGAGGGCUGGCGUGGGUUUUGUCCGUGUGCGCUCUUUCCCAGGUAAGGAACACAAGGACCGUAAAUCGUACUGGGCAGCCAACAGGUUACAAGCUCAUACCUGGUUCAAAUUGUCUGCCAUUCUGCCUGCCAGAGGCAAAGUUCCAGAGACGAGCUGGAUUUUUAAAGCAUAAUCUUUGGGUUACAUCAUACAAAAGUGAUGAGAUAUUCCGUGGAGGAGAUCGACUUUCCAAUCAGAACCGGCGCAUCCAUGAGGCUCUAGCUACAUGGGUCAAGAUCUCUGGUCAUUUUAGAUGGAUAGAUAGCAACAGGUCAAUAAUUACACUCUGAAUAAACGGUGUUUAUGAGGCAUGCAUUUGUAUUAUGAAUUGGAAGAACAUCAAUCAGCAAGUAUUUAUGGCGGAUGUCUCCUAGAUGAGAUAAUUUUCCGCAAACUAUGUCUGAUCCAAUUGCUCUAGGUAGCAACAUCGUGGAAUCGUAGUGUUAUUUUUUAUGCCCUACAUUCUACCGCUGAUACACUUGGAUUUGCAUAUUUUGAGUCAUGCUUCUACUAAUUUGACUUAUGAUGUCGCUGGUUUAGGAUGAAUGCUCGCAGAUCAUCUUCUAUCCCAAGUUUCUUAUUUGCAGGUGAUGAUCUUUCUGCAACCUGCUACCUGUGUUUACAGGUUGCUGAUUCUUCUAUCCCUUGAUCUUCUUUUGUGCAUGUGUGUCGUCUAUGCUUACAUCUAUGUUGGACGCGACUAUUCUUUUUCCAAUGAGCUAGUUGCUGCAGUCCUGUUCGUUUCUUUCGAGGACAUAGAUGAUAGAAAUGCUGCCAUGGGAUCAGAUCCUUCCCUUUUUCCCAUCUCUGUCUGCGUGUAUCCAUAAAAUUGUUUGUACGUCAUUUGUCCACUUAAAUGUGUAUUUAUGCUUCUUUCUAACAAUGGUCGUUUGGAUGCAUAUCCCAUAUGGCCAUUUUUUGUGAAGUGUGUAGUACAACCACUGGUUGUUCCUUGUAAUAUCCAAAUGGUAUAAGAGAUUUUGUUAGUGCACCAUUAGCAUAUUAUUUUCUUUCUAUCCAAUAAGAGGUUGUUGUUAUGUUAUUGUCAUUUAUUGCCUUGCAUUGGAUGGUUAUGUAGUAACAUGCUUC